GAUGAAGAACGUAGUGAAAUGCGAUAAGUAAUGUGAAUUGCAGAAUUCAGUGAAUCAUCGAAUCUUUGAACGCACAUUGCGCCCGCCAGUAUUCUGGCGGGCAUGCCUGUUCGAGCGUCAUUUCAACCAUCAAGCCCCCGGCUUGUGUUGGGGACCUGCGGCUGCCGCAGGCCCUGAAAACCAGUGGCGGGCUCGCUAGUCACUCCGAGCGUAGUAGCUAACACCUCGCGACUGGAGAGCGGCGCGGCCACGCCGUAAAACACCCAACUCUUCUGAAGUUGACCUCGAAUCAGGUAGGAAUACCCGCUGAACUUAAGCAUAUCAAUAAGCGGAGGA
rnacentral:misc_RNA from 1 species